rnacentral:misc_RNA from 1 species
AAAAGUCGUAACAAGGUUUCCGUAGGUGAACCUGCGGAAGGAUCAUUAAUAAAAGGAUACCUUCGGGUAUACCCCAUCCGUGUCUACAUACUCUUGUUGCUUUGGCAGGCCAUGGUCUCCCACUGUGGGCUCUGCCUGCAUGUGCCUGCCAGAGGACCAAACUCUGAAUGUUAGUGAUGUCUGAGUACUAUAUAAUAGUUAAAACUUUCAACAACGGAUCUCUUGGUUCUG